UUCUAGCUAUAUGCAGUGGGUAGAAGAGAAUUUUCCUGAUAAUAAAGACUACUUGAUAAUGCUACUAGAACAUUUAAUGAAGGACUUUUUAUUUAAGAAGAGAUACCACAAUGACCCAAGAUUCAUCAAUUAUUGUUUAAAAUUUGUGAGUAUACUUUCAUAUCGAUAAUGAAAUCUGUAAUCAUGUUGAACUUUUGUUUUUUGACCUAUAUUUUAAGAUCUUUUAAACUGCCUUUUAUUUUAAUUCCUUGUUUCCAUUCAUAAAUUUUUAAGGGUUGGAUUACUAGAGAUGUGUAUAGCCUUGGCUCUGUAUAGUGGAAUCAUUGAUUCAGUUUUUAAAUUCUCCUUUAUUUCAAGUUUGCACAUGUUCCAACAUGGAAUAGAAACCAAAAAGUAAAAGAGGGUUUGUUGGGUAGGAAACGUGAUGAGCAGGAAACGCCCAGGUGCCAGGAGAGCUCCAGGGAGUAAACAGUGGGGAGCAUUCUGGCUCUCAGAAACUACACUUAGUACUAAGGGGAGAAUGAAGGCUCAGGCCUGAAGAUUGCAUCUCUUCGACCUGGAAGUCAAAGGCUUGGAGAUAUAAAAAAUCACGAGUGGAGUGGAUAAGGCAAACAUGAAUUCGUUCACUGAAUUACAGAGUACUUGUUGGAGGCACCUAUGGACCUUGAGCAAGCUCAGAGCAAGACACAAGUAAUACUUCAUGUGAUGGGUUUUUAUAGACUUACUGUCUAAGGAAAUAGUUUGGGUAAUUUUGGGGAUAUUGAAUGUCAAGGAAAGGAAUGAUCCUAACUUAGGCUUGUGACCAGAGAACCAUACACACCUUCGCCUACAUAGUAUAUCCUCAAGCCUCCACAAGUACAGAAAGGUGGAGGGCCAGCUAGAUUCUGGGCUGACCCAGAUUAGCAGUUCUGUGUUUUAUUUUUUUUUUGUUUUUAAAUUUAUUUUGGUAUUUAUAUAUUUUUAAAAUUUUUAGUUGACACACAAUAAUUGUUCACAUUUAUGGGCUACAGUAUCCAUCACCUCAUAUAUUUAUCAUUUCUUUGUGUUGGGAACAUUCAUUCAUAAAUGCCAAUUUGGCUCUGUCUCCUGCAUGCACCCCUCUAUUUUGAAAUAUUAUUUGCCAACCAUAGUUACCCUACUAUGCUCUAAAACAUUAGAAAUUAUUCUUCUUAUCCAACUGCACCCCUGUAGCUCUUAACAUCUUUUUUUUUUUAAAUAUUUAUUUUUUAGUUAUUGGUGGACACAAUGUCUUUCUUUUACUUUAUGUAGUGCUGAGGAUGGAGCCCAGGGCCUCACACAUGCUAGGCAAGCGCUCUACCUCUGAGCCACAGCCCCAGCCCAGCUCUUAACAUCUUUCCUCCACCCUUGCCUCAUUGUUCUUCUGUGCUUUUCUUCUGGGUUCCUGUAGGCUGAAUACAACAGUGACCCACAUCAGUUUUUUGAGUUUCUGUACAACCAGGGGAUUGGAAUCCAGUCAUCUCCUCUGUACAUUUCCUGGGCAGGGCAUCUGGAAGCCCAAGGGGAGCUGCAGCAGGCCAGUGCUGUGUUUCGGAGAGGAGUUCAAAACCAGGCUGAACCUCAAGAGCUCUUGCAACAGCAGUACAGGUAGCUUCUAAGUACAGCUCCUCCUGGCAUUUCCUACUUGGAGAGGAAAUGUUUGCUUUUACAUUUAUUAUUAUCUAUUUUAUGGGGAAAUCUUGUGGAAAAUUUGGUCACUACAGAGUAAAGAAAAGAAACUGCUCAGAAAUGUUACCGUUACCUACUUUCCAUAAUUAUUACAUUUGAUCAUGUUUUUUCUGUGCUGAGGACUUUUAUAGGAGAUUCGAAAUAGCUAAAUAGUUUAUCUCAAUUAUUACUAUAAGUUCUCCAAAAGAUUAUUUCUUACAGAAUCUUAGUAGAUAAUCUCACCUAUGAAAUUAAAAGUAAUUCUUCAGUAUCACCUAAUUUUCAGUCUUUCCCCAUCAUGUAAAAUGGUUUUACUACCAUUAGUUUGUUUGAAUUAAGAGCAAAACAAGGUUUAGCAUUUGGUUGUGGAUCUCUUCUCUUUUUAGUAUGCACUCUUGCUUGCAUUACCCACCAAUGUCAGGCUUAGGAAUUGCAUGUAAUUCCACAGAGUUGAUGUGUAAAAUUGCUGUGAAGUGACCCGUUUGAGAUGUCCUCACAGAGCAUGGGCAGUAAUGGAUCUAGAUACCUUUUGAAUAAGUGGUCUAAGCUUUGUACUUUCACUUCUUUCUCCCAAAUAUUAAUAUUCAUUUUGUUCCAAAUGGGUAAAAUAACCAAAGUAGGAGUCCAAACACUCUAUUAUAACAUUUACAGACUUGAGGAAUUUUUUUAAUAUAUGUACAUCAGAUAUGAAAAUAUUCCUAGCAUUUUGUCUGACUAUAUUACUUCAACCUUGGUCUUUAUUAACAUAUAGUAAGCUGUUACCUUUAAUUUCUACUUUAAUACAGUAUAUAUUAGACUGUAAACUUAAAAUCUAUACUAAUGCCUUUUCUAUCAUUUAGGUUAUUUC
rnacentral:lncRNA from 1 species